rnacentral:rRNA from 1 species
AUUGAACGCUGGCGGCAGGCCUAACACAUGCAAGUCGAACGAGUGGCGGACGGGUGAGUAAUGUCUGGGAAACUGCCUGAUGGAGGGGGAUAACUACUGGAAACGGUAGCUAAUACCGCAUACCAUCAGAUGUGCCCAGAUGGGAUUAGCUUGUGGGUGGGGAAACGGCUCACCAAGGCGAAGGUCCCUAGCUGGUAUGAGAGGAUGACCAUCCAAAAUGGAACUGAGACCAGGUCCAGAUGCCUACGGGAGGCAGCAGUGGGGAAUAUUGCACAAUGGGCGAAAGCCUGAUGCAGCCAGGACGAGUGUAUGAAGAAGGCCUUCGGGUUGUAAAGUACGUGCAGCGGGGAGGCGUUACCCGCAGAAGAAGCACCGGCUAACUCCGUGCCAGCAGCCGCGAUAAUAC